rnacentral:rRNA from 1 species
UACGGAGGGAGCUAGCGUUGUUCGGAAUUACUGGGCGUAAAGCGCACGUAGGCGGCUUUGUAAGUUAGAGGUGAAAGCCCGGGGCUCAACUCCGGAACUGCCUUUAAGACUGCAUCGCUUGAAUCCAGGAGAGGUGAGUGGAAUUCCGAGUGUAGAGGUGAAAUUCGUAGAUAUUCGGAAGAACACCAGUGGCGAAGGCGGCUCACUGGACUGGUAUUGACGCUGAGGUGCGAAAGCGUGAGGAGCAAACAGG